GGUGUCAAACUCCAGUCCUGGAGGGCCAGUGUCCUGCAACUUUUAGAUGUGCCUCUGCUGCAUCACACCUGAAUAGAAUAAUUAAGUCAUUAAGGCUCCGGAAAACUUAUUUACAUAAUAAGGAGGCAAUUAAGCUAUUUGAUUCCGGUGUUUUGUACCUGUUGCACAUCUAAAAACUGCAGGACAGUGGCCCUUCAGGACUGGAGUUUGACACCACUGUACAUCCUGAACACCAGCCUAAACC